GGAUUGUUUUCCUUCAUCCUGAGCUCCGCUCACCUUAAUUCUCUCCAGCUUUGGCCCAGGGUUGACCAGGUUUUCUUCGUUCUACCUCAGCAUCCAGUUGGGGCUCUUUUCCUGCUGGACCGGUUGAUUGCAGGCUGCCCUCUCUCUGAGCUGGGGCUCCUCUUUCACCUGCGCUGCUUGGGAAACAAAAACUUUACAAAGAUUCCUUCUGAUGCUUCACACAGGCGCUGCGCUCUCGCCUUCUUCUAGAUUCUAAAGCUCACAGCCAAAAGACUGCGAGAAUUCUUCUGGUAUCCAUGUGGGAGAGAAAAGCCCAUGUAGGAGGCUGGAAGAUGUGAAUGGAGCUUGUGGGGCCAUUCCCAGCAUUCCCUGGAGUUUAGCUUGAGAAAAUAAUAAGAAUUCUAUACGAUCAGUGAUCUCACUCAUCUGGACUACGACAACACCCAGCUAGGCUGCUUCUCCCCCUUGCAGCUCCUGCCCAGCCGGCCAGGCAGGUCUGACGAUGGAGAUACCUGCUUCCACACGGGAAGAAACUCUGAGUUCACAGACAGGUGCCCCAGGAGCAAGUCCCAGCUCUCUGUCCGCUUGUUUGGGGCACUUGAGUGGCCACUUAGCUUUGCUGAGCCUCACACUCUCCUCCUGUAAAAUGGAGCUAAUACACCUCUGUCACAGAGCCACUGUCAGUCUCUAAUGAAAUAAAGCUUGUGAUGUG
ensembl:lncRNA